rnacentral:lncRNA from 1 species
CGGCGUGAUGUGUGGAUGUGCGGCGGCGACGCUACCCCAGAUGGGCUGUCUGACUGUGGUUGGGAAUGCCGAACCGUGAACAUGCAGUGAGGGUUGGGAUGCUCCGGGUGAAAGCCCUCGCCGGCGUUUGCUAGUGGAGAUGACGGCGGCGCCCUAGGGCGUCGUUCUCCCCAUUGGGGGCAUCAUGUCUGAGCUACAACCCUGCUGCAUGGGAUCCUCUGGGUGGAAAC